CACAAAAAGAAUAAAAGAAUGUGUGCAAGGUAAGGCAACCGCUCAAUGUCGGCAGCACACACAUGCGCCGUAAGGAACGACUGCGGUUGUCAAGACGCGCUUUGGAUGGAAUCUCUUCGUUCGUUUUAGUCUCCGGAAGGGAAGUGUGACUGUAGAGUGUGGACAGAUCUGACGGAUUCAUGCAAGUCUCGUAAACACUGAGUAACUUUGCCAGUCUGGAAGCAUGAAAAGCUUCAAUAAUGGAGAUAUCCUCAAAGCUCCACUGUUCAUAAAGAUCUUGGGUUUCGCUUUCAUCUCCGUGGGUUUCUUCUAUCUUGGCAAGCAUUGGUCUGAUGGCUACGAACAACUAAUUUUCUUCAAUAACCGACAAUCAACUGGCGACGAUCAAACCCUUUCAGUGGCUAUUUCGCCCAAUGCCAACAACGAAUUUGAUCUAUCACUUCUCAUUGGUAACCAGACCGACAAUGUUCCCGAUAGAACGAUUUCUUUGAAUUCUACUCCGCCUGAGAAUUCCUCAUCGUCUGAUCCGCCGCCGUCUCCUCCUCCUCCUUCGCCUCCACCGCCGCCGGCACCUUUGGAGAGAUUUGGGAUUGUGAAUGAGGAUGGGACGAUGGCGGAUGAAUUUGAGGUCGGUGAAUUUGAUCCUGAAAUAGUUGAGAAUUGGGGGAACGAUAACGAAACCAAAGAGAGUCAGAGCCAAAGUGAGAGUUCUAGGGUUAGAAUGAAGAGAUUUCCGUUGUGUCCGGAAAGCAUGAGAGAGUAUAUACCUUGUUUGGGUAAUGCCGAUGAGAUUAAGAAGCUAAAUACGACGGAGAGGGGAGAGAGGUUUGAGCGGCACUGUCCCGGGGAAGGUACGAGUCUGAAUUGUCUAGUUCCGGCGCCGAAGGACUACAAGACUCCAAUCCCGUGGCCGAGAAGCAGGAAUGAGGUGUGGUUCAGUAAUGUACCCCAUACACGUUUGGUUGAAGAUAAAGGUGGUCAGAAUUGGAUUUCAAGAGUGAAAGAUAAAUUCAAAUUUCCAGGUGGUGGAACCCAGUUCAUACAUGGUGCUGACCCAUAUUUAGAUCAGAUUGCAAAGAUGGUUCCUGAUAUUACAUUUGGCCGUCAUACUCGAGUUGCCUUGGAUGUUGGGUGUGGAGUAGCAAGCUUUGGUGCUUAUCUUCUUUCACGGAAUGUGAUCACCAUGUCCAUAGCACCAAAAGAUGUUCAUGAGAACCAGAUUCAAUUUGCUCUUGAGCGUGGUGUACCUGCCAUGGUGGCCGCAUUUGCAACACAUCGUUUGUUAUAUCCGAGCCAGGCUUUUGAUUUGAUACAUUGUUCAAGAUGUAGGAUUAAUUGGACCCGUGAUGAUGGAAUUUUGCUUCUUGAGGUCAAUAGGAUGCUUAGGGCUGGAGGAUACUUUGCUUGGGCAGCACAGCCAGUUUAUAAACAUGAAGACAAUCUUGAAGAACAAUGGAAAGAGAUGGUGGACCUUACUGUUCGUCUUUGUUGGGAGCUUGUGAAGAAGGAGGGGUACCUUGCGAUUUGGCAGAAGCCUUUAAACAACAGCUGUUAUGUCAGUCGUGAUUCUGGAGCCCAACCUCCAUUAUGUGAUCCAGAUGAUGACCCAGACAAUGUUUGGUAUGUUGGUCUGAAGGCAUGCAUCACUCGACUACCAGAGAAUGCAAAUGAAGCAAAUAUUCCAAUGUGGCCUGCACGCCUGCAUGCUCCACCAGAUAGGCUUCAGACCUUACGAAUGGAUGCCUAUAUAUCUAGAAACGAACUCUUCAAGGCAGAAUCAAAAUACUGGAAUGAUAUAAUAGAAAGUUAUGUUCGUGUUUUACGUUGGAAAAAAAUGAAAUUACGGAAUGUGAUGGACAUGAGAGCUGGAUUUGGAGGAUUUGCAGCUGCUUUAAUUGAUCAACAGAUUGAUUGCUGGGUGCUGAACGUUGUUCCUGUUAGUGGGUCCAACACAUUGCCUGUUAUUUAUGAUCGUGGACUUAUAGGAGUAAUGCAUGAUUGGUGUGAGCCUUUUGAUACUUAUCCAAGAACUUAUGAUUUUUUACAUGCAUCCGGUCUCUUCUCCGUUGAGAAAAAGAGGUGCAACAUCUCCACGAUCAUGCUUGAGAUGGAUCGGAUUUUGAGACCUGGGGGGCAUGUAUAUAUCCGUGAUUCUGUAUCAGUCAUAUAUGAAAUUCAGGAGGUUGGAAACGCCAUGGGGUGGCACACUGUCCUACGUGACACAUCUGAGGGACCGCAUUCAAGUUGGAAGAUCUUGACAUGUGAUAAACAUCUUUUGCGUGCUUGAAUGGGUUAGGCAUGUAAAGUAAAUUGUCAUCCACUACUACAAUUUGAAGGCAAUGAUCAAGCAGACUCCAAGUAAUGCUUCGCAUCAUCAAGACUUCUGCUGGGAAAAAUUGUUCCAUUAAGUGCGUUCCCAGCCAACUUCACCCCUGAAUGCACGAGUUAGAUUAUAUAUAGUGGAAACCUGUGUACCAAUCCAUUUUAAGUUCGCCAAUAAAAAGCAAGUGAAUGUUUAUCUCGAUCCAAAAGAAGAGAACACCACAGAAUACAAAUUGGAAAUUUCUGCUGGAGCUUACAGGAAAUAUAUCCAGUGUUUGCAUACACAAUGACCGAGCCUACAUGAAGAGCCUCAUUGGUGGAGUUUUAACUCAAAUAUGAUACAAACUCAUGAAAACUAAGUUCUAUCUUGAAUUUUUUAAAUUGUGAAUGUUGUUUUCUGGAGAAAAAAAAAAAUGUCGUCUUGAUUUCUAGUACAAUUUCCACCCAAUGAUGAGAUGAACCCCAUUACAUGGAUGGGGAUUCUUUUCUUUAUUCAA